UCAUCUCCAGCUUCUAUUAAUGGUUCAGGCUGAAAUAAAAUAAAAAUAAAAAUAAUAGCAGGAGGAAGAAAUUGGAUCAUAAAUUCAGUAAAUAUAAUAUUUCAUUCCACACUUCUAUAACUUACCUCAUGAAUCAAGACAUGCUUUACUGCAAUGCGAGAUUAAUAUAACACGAAUUGUAACCCUACUAGAAGACAAACCAAAUAAAUAUAUGAGAUAGUUCUAGAGCAAUAAUACUAAGUAUUCAUCAUUACAUUGAAAACUCAAUUUGUAUAAACAUCUAACUAGCUUCAAAGUAUACAAAAUUGCUAAAGACUGCAAAGUAUUACGAUAGUGGAAUUUGCAUAGAUGCAUACCUUAAUUCUCUACAAACGACAUCAACUUUCUAAACAAAACAAACUUCCUGAGGAUUCCAAUACCAUACUUCAACUUUCUAAAUAAUAUCAACAUCAAAUUUCUAUAUAUUAAAAAGGACGAUACCAGAGCAUACAUAAUACAUUUGCUGUUCAAUUCUGCCAAAAUCUUAGUCCUCUUAGAAUAAAAGAGAUAUCAAACACCAAACACCAACACUAAAAUUUUUCUUAGAGAAAAGGUAAUUAAAGGGAGAAUUUCAAUUCAUCAAAUACCAGUUAGAAUUCGAUAUAUAUCGCGAACCGAAAAUAAGUAAAAAUUCUCCCUGCUCAAGCUGUCGACCAACUGUAGUUGCUGCCCCCCUUUCGCUGCCAAAAUUGGUAACGCUAUUACCUCCUUUGGCCACAUCAGCCGCUUGUCGUUUGGUCGGAUCGGCACCGUGCACACCUGAAGUGUCGACCGCCAAAUGAUCUGCCGCUUGAACUAUAUAUCCACUUCGCAAUCUGCCAUCUUGCCUUCUUCAAAGCACAAACCCUUCCCCCUUUCACCAAUUACAUAUGUAAUAGGAUGAAAAUAAAGAUUUUGGCUGUGGCGUAAAUUGAAUUGAUAANGUUAACCUCUCAAAAUAAAAAAUAAAAAAUAGGGGUUAUGGCAAAAAAAAUAACACGAACUUACGAAAAAAGUUUUAAAUUUUCUACCUGAACUUUCAAUUAAGUAAAAUAUAUAUUAUAUAUAUAUAUAAAUUAAUAUUUUUAUUGCAAUUUUCACCUGAAUUUGAUUUUCGGCGAAAUCAAAGUUUAGUUGGCAGUCGGAAUUUCACUUGAUGUUGGUCUAACUUCUGAUGAUGAGUAUUUAGAAAUUCGGAGGUCCAAGAAGGAAAAAAUUAAUAUAUACGUACUUGACUUAAUUUCGACUAUCAAUUAAGCUCUAAUUUCGUUGAAAGUCAUUAAGUUAAACUUAGGUGAAAAUUACAAUAAAAAUAUAAAUUCGUGUAUCUUUUUGGCUUAAUUCACUACAACAAAAAUUGGUUUAAAUGACAUUUAAAAAUGUUGCAAUAAAUAGCUUAUUACAACAUUUUACUUUUCUCCACGGUGAAUCUUAAUGUCGCCUCUAUGAGUGUAGCUAAAGAUAAAAUUAGUUAUUGUGACACUUCUAAAUAGUCAGCAUAAAUUGAUAAGAAAAUCAGAUUUUAUAAAUAUAUUAUGACAUUAAUGAUGGGAAAAGGUGUAUAACCCAACGUUUGUUAGUGACUCUAUAAAUAUAAUAUAAAAACAUCUUUUUGACACUUUAAAACUUAAAAUGCAUAUACGCAGAUAUUCUAUAUCUCUGACUUCAUAAUUUAAUUUAUGUCAUACAAAAAAAUUAUCAACAUUAUUAAAACACAUGUUUAACAGAAAUAUAUAAAGAACAUAUAUAUAUUUCAAAUAUAAUUCAAAUUUCACAAUAAUGAAAAUGGUACAAUAAAAAAAAAGGAAAUAAAAUCAUAUUAUCUUAUUCACUAAUAAAAAUAGCACUAAAUCCUACCAACUAUUUUCAAAACAAAAUUAGACCGAAGCUCUUGCCAAGGUAAAAAAACUAUUGUUCUAACGCUAUGUAGUUGCAUUCUUCAAGUUCUUCGUGUGAACAAAGUUGUCCUAAGAUCCUCGAGUGCAAGAAUCAUAGAUUUUGACAACAUCUGCAAAGUGUCGCCUGAAAUAAAAAUUUAUACAACCUUAGAUUUAUGUAAAAUUGCUUCUAAUAUAUAAUGAAGUAAAACUGCACUAUGUGUCGAAUAUCAUGGUCGAGCAAUCAUUUCAUCAAAUAGAUCUUCAAGAGUUUGAUAAUAAAAAUACACCUCAUGCAGGCUUGAAAUGCAUCAAAUAUGCAUAUUACGGAGAGCAUAUCGAGAGAAGUUGAUUCACAAAGGAUAAUGCAAAAACCUGUAAAGUGCAACAACAACUUAUCAAUUAAACACUCAAAAAACCACGCUCCUACCAGAAAAGAACACAAAUAGAUCCACAUGUAUACAAAUUCCAAAAAAGAAAAAACACAAAGUUCUAGAUUAUCAAUGCAAGCACCAAAGACUACUAAUACCUUCUCAACAAAGAACAAAAGGGUCGCUGAUAUUUCAUAACACAAGCAUAAUAUCAUGGCAUGCAUUUUCAUCGACUCUUAUGAACAACAUUGUUUCCCAAGGCAUCAAUAAUCAUGCUAAAUUGGAAAACCAAAAAAGAAAACCAACUGAGAAUAAAUACUACCAAAUACCAAUAGAAUGUUCUGAUCAGCUAAAGAUUCAUGCACUUUAUAUAAACUGGAUACUUAAUUUUAUCAUAAAAAUAAUAUAUAGAGAAAAUAAAAAUAAUAUCUUGAUGGUUACCUUUCUUUGCAUUUUAAAUAUCACCAGUUCAAUGCAAUAAGUUCAUCAUUGCAAUGCCACUUUUAUAGCCUUGGCGAAGAGAUUUCUAUUACUCUAGUGAAACAAGAAUGAUGGAAUAUUCCAACCUGAAAACACAUGGAGAUAAUAAAUUCUUCUGUUUGAUAACUUAUUGCUUAUAGUUUCCAUGAGUAAAUAGGUGGAACUAAAUAGCACCAUGAAAGAGAGUGGAUAUCCCAUCGAACCAGUCCCCUGCAUAUGUAAGAAGAAAACAAGACAACAUUUAGGUUUCCUUGCUGGAAAGCAGAGAUAACAAACCUGUAAAUUGAAUAAGCAUCUUAAAUGAGUGGCUCAGUGCCUUCCCAGGAUCCCUUGCUUUCACCAAAAAAGAAGAGCUAAAUUGCAUUGCACUACACACCUCUCGCUAUAAACCUGAAAUUAGUACCGAGGACAGUGUAAUUGACGUAGUCAAUGAUUCAACAUGAAAUUCUCUAUUCCCUCACCAAGACUAAAAGGUAAAAUAAAUAAUACAAGAGACACAAAAAAGAAUGACAUCAAUAUAUAGAAAAUCAAGUAGUUUAAACAAUUUUUUAAACACAUUGGCAAUUAUUAGUAAAUUUAAAUGUUCUUGGCAAGAGAUCAUGCUAUCCUAACAAAGACAUUUGAAAGCCAACUUCUAUGGUUUAGAAACUUGAAAAAACCAGCUUUAUCCAAGACAUAGAGAAUAUCAUUAUUGCUCAAGUAACAGAAACCAUGUGCAACAAAGUCCUUCAUCUCCAGCUUCUAUUAAUGGUUCAGGCUGAAAUAAAAUAAAAAUAAAAAUAAUAGCAGGAGGAAGAAAUUGGAUCAUAAAUUCAGUAAAUAUAAUAUUUCAUUCCACACUUCUAUAACUUACCUCAUGAAUCAAGACAUGCUUUACUGCAAUGCGAGAUUAAUAUAACACGAAUUGUAACCCUACUAGAAGACAAACCAAAUAAAUAUAUGAGAUAGUUCUAGAGCAAUAAUACUAAGUAUUCAUCAUUACAUUGAAAACUCAAUUUGUAUAAACAUCUAACUAGCUUCAAAGUAUACAAAAUUGCUAAAGACUGCAAAGUAUUACGAUAGUGGAAUUUGCAUAGAUGCAUACCUUAAUUCUCUACAAACGACAUCAACUUUCUAAACAAAACAAACUUCCUGAGGAUUCCAAUACCAUACUUCAACUUUCUAAAUAAUAUCAACAUCAAAUUUCUAUAUAUUAAAAAGGACGAUACUAGAGCAUACAUAAUACAUUUGCAGUUCAAUUCUGCCAAAAUCUUAGUCCUCUUAGAAUAAAAGAGAUAUCAAACACCAAACACCAACACUAAAAAUUUUCUUAGAGAAAAGGUAAUUAAAGGGAGAAUUUCAAUUCAUCAAAUACCAGUUAGAAUUCGAUAUAUAUCGCGAACCGAAAAUAAGUAAAAAUUCUCCCUGCUCAAGCUGUCGACCAACUGUAGUUGCUGCCCCCCUUUCGCUGCCAAAAUUGGUAACGCUAUUACCUCCUUUGGCUUUCACCCACAUCAGCCGCUUGUCAUUUGGUCGGAUUGGCACCGUGCACACCUGAAGUGCCGACCGCCAAAUGAUCUGCCGCUUGAACUAUAUAUCCACUUCGCAAUCUGCCAUCUUGCCUUCUUCAAAGCACAAACCCUUCCCCCUUUCACCAAUUACAUAUGUAAUAGGAUGAAAAUAAAGAUUUUGGCUGUGGCGUAAAUUGAAUUGAUAAAAAUUGGGAAAGUUCUAGUUGUGUUGGUGAAAAAAAGAGACUUAAACACGUUGAUUAGAAAAAGUACAAAGGCGGUUAAUUCUUUUCUAUUUUUCCAAGUAAAAAAAAUGUAAAA
rnacentral:lncRNA from 1 species